rnacentral:misc_RNA from 1 species
UUACCGCGAGCAGCUUCAGCUGGCCAAUAAAUUGUCGGAGUUUGUUAUUUUUUCUGUCAAAUUGUAGACGUUUCUUUUCCACAUACAGCACGAGCGGAAUUUCUUUUUCAUCAAACUUAAGUCGCACGAUUGUGAUUUGUUGCAUCGACGUUGAGCAGGUCAGAAGUGCGCCAGAUCGUUCCGAAUUGAAAUGGUUAAAGAGAAGCAGACGAAAAGAGCAGGAGAAGAAAAUAAACCAGUUUCAGCAGCAACAAUAGAUGAAAACGAACUUAGGAAAGCAAAGAGGGACGAAGGAAAAAGUCAUGAAGCAACGAAGUCCGCAAUCGAUUUAGAAAGAAAAUUUGGCGAUAAUGAUUCACCUCAGACGAGUGAAAUCUCCGGAGGUGAAGCAGGAGAAAAUCGUAUUUCACCUGCGGAUACAAGAAUCGGCGGCAUAGAAGGAGGUGCGACGCAUUCCACACUGAUAAUUCUGAAUGGGUACGGAACAAAGUUGAUCGAAAUGAAAGGUCCCGGUACGAAUCAUUGGCAUGUGGGGAUGAAGGAAACUGCUGCUAGAAUAAACGGAAUGAUAGCGAUUGCGAAGAAGGAUUUGAAUAUUUCCGAGUCGACGCCAUUAGAUUGCACGGGUCUUGCCUUGAGUGGCUGUGAACAAGAAGAAUCAAAUCGUCAUCUAGUGGAAAUCCUUCUGAAAGAGUUUCCAACCGCUUCUCGAAGGUAUUUUGUGGGUUCAGAUACUUUGGGCAGUAUAAAAACAGGCCUUCGAAAUGGCGGUGUGGUCCUAAUCGCAGGAACCGGGAGUAACGCCCUCCUCGUAAAUCCUGAUGGGAAAACUCACGGUUGUGGAGGAUGGGGACACGCCAUGGGAGACGAAGGCAGUGCGUAUUGGAUAGCUCACCGCGCAACGAAAUAUGUCUUCGACGAAAUGGACAAUUUCUCAAAGGCUCCGCACCCGAUUACCUAUGUUUGGCCUACUAUAAGGAACUUUUUUCACAUCGCCGAGAGGAAUGAUCUCCUUCCACACCUCUAUGCCAAUUUCGACAAGAGCAAAUUCGCCAUGUUGGCUAAAGAACUUGCCAAAGGCUGCGAUCAUGGAGACCCACUGUGCAUUUUACUCUUUGAAGAUACAGGGAAAGUCUUGGCACGUUAUGUUCAGGCCGUAGCCGGAAAAGCUCAAAAUGAUUUAAUUUUGGCUACCGGGGGACUGAAAAUUGUUUGCGUCGGUUCGGUAUGGAAUUCUUGGAAGCUAAUGAAAAAGGGAUUUGAGGAUCAAAUUCACAAUACUCCAGGCGUUGAUGAACUGAGCCUCUUACGACUGAAGACUUCCGCGGCCAUUGGGGCUUGUUAUUUGGCUGCUGAUUCGAUCGCCUGCGAUACAUUGAAAAAGACGUACGACGACAACAUCGAUGUAUUCUAUCACUAUAAACGUGCAAACUUCCCAGCGUCACCGGAACGGGAAUAACCCCUGAUUUUCAUAUCGGGCCACUCCAAGUUUCGAAAUAUCAUCUUCGCGAGAUAUUCUCUUUGGGACUGGUGGAAAACGUGAUUUAAUUCAAUGCCGUUGACGUGUGGCCAUUGUCAUAUUUCAACUUGUAUAGAGUACGUACAUACAUUUUGAAUCUUUUCUGCAAAAAGUCUCUACGGUGGAACGAAAUUUGUGGACGUUUCGUAACUAUAAUUUUCUGAGAACUUGGGAUAAGGAUCUGACUAUUUCGAAAGAAAUGAAAAUUCUAGGCCAAUAACGUAACUCUGCAAGUAGACGCACGCUUUUAUUUCACCUCGCAUCGUGUCGCGGUAUAUGUAUGUAUUCGUAUCGUUUUUUUGACCAGUAAACGCAAUAAGUGUAUUUGAAAUCAUCGAAUAAAGAGACGGAUUAGUUUUACAAAUUCGAAUGUUUUCUGCAUCGUAUCUUCAGAAAAAUUCAAUCAAACACAUAGAUUUGGUGUAGUUUAACACAGUUGCGCCGAGAAAGUCUGAAAUAUUUUGCAUCGCUAUCAUUUUACAGCCGGCACACCCGUAGCUGUUUGAAAAAAAGUGAAGAAACAAAAUGUAAAGCGAUGAAGUUUAACAACGGUGAAUCUAACCGAAACGUUUGUACUGACAAAUUGCGAUGUGAGAAAUAACCUGACAUUAAGUGUCGGAAUCAAAAAUCAAAUAAUGGCCCUGUCAUCCGCUGUCCUCGAAUUAUUCAGCCGGGAUUGGAAUCCGCGAAGCCCGCAGUGUUCGUGAUUCAGUCGCCAGACAAUAAAUUCCAUCAUGGGCCUGGUUUUCGGUGUGAUUCUCAUGCCCUUUAAGAUUUUUUGGUCCGGCGCAGUCCUGGUUUACGAUAUUCUGAAUUUUUUAUUAUUAUUGUUACUCACGGCCGGGACAAUUUGGCUGACAGUUAUAUUCGUAAAUUUUAUUACAAGAAGUAUCGAUAGUUACCUACAUGAUAGCGAGAACUGUGGUUGAAACAAACAAAUUACUCAAAUCAUCAAAUCAAACAGUCAAAUGUAACGAGGAAAGGUGUAUGAGAAUCAAAAUGAUUCAUCACACGUUCAGUGUAAUAUUCAGUAACUAAAAAAAUAUAGUAAUGCCCGUUAUUAUUUAUCACAA